rnacentral:rRNA from 1 species
GACAGAGGGUGCAAACGUUGUUCGGAAUUACUGGGCGUAAAGCGCGUGUAGGCGGCAGGGCAAGUCGGAUGUGAAAUCCCGUGGCUCAACCACGGAAGUGCACCCGAAACUGCCCAGCUAGAGUCUCGGAGAGGAAGGUGGAAUGCUUGGUGUAGAGGUGAAAUUCGUAGAUAUCAAGCGGAACACCGGUGGCGAAGGCGGGUCUCUGGGCCGAUACUGACGCUGAGGAGCGAAAGCGUGGGGAGCGAACAGG